UGAUACCAGGGUCAAAAGGUCUAAGCCCACAUGAGCUUGCUCAUAGGUGGGUGAAAGACCUUAGGACCCGCCCCGAUAUGAGCAUAAAAGUGGGGGCGUAAGCACCACGAUAUGCGAAUGUUGGGUAGGAUUGUGGGAGCACGUAGUGCGUAACAAUCCGUAGGUAUCA
rfam:Ruminococcus lactaris ATCC 29176 Scfld_02_39 genomic scaffold, whole genome shotgun sequence.